GCCCGGGUGGCGGAAUGGGAAGACGCGGGCGACUUAAAAUCGCCUGGCCUGCGAGCCGUGCAGGUUCGAGUCCUGCCCCGGGCACCC
rnacentral:tRNA from 1 species